rnacentral:tRNA from 1 species
GCCGAGGUAGCUCAGUGGUAGAGCAGGAGUUUGUGGAGCUCUUGGUCGUAGGUUCAAUCCCUACCCUCGGUACCA